UACUUUUCAUACGCCUGUUUCCUUGAUUUGGAGCAUUAUAUUGUGAGACGCCCUCAACUCAAGUAGCACUCCCAUAGUAUCAGAUAAUCCAACAACUGCAUGACUUCAAUUUCUCCCGUUAUAAUGUAGAGACCUCAGCAUCAGUAACCAAGAAUCUUAACCGAAGAGAGAGGAAUCUGAGAUCUUCAACGCACUAUAUGCCCCAAAACCUCCAAGGAUUGCUAAUGUUAACUUUCAGAACUAUAUAGGGAUACCCUUUUGCUUCUCAAUGAGGUUGUCUAGCUUUAGGACUUCAAAUGGAGGAGAAAGAUGGAUGUUGAUUCCACGGAUUGAAGCUAGGAGCAUAGGAAUACACUUUAAGAUUUGGUUAUUACUUUGAGUGGAUUCCAAUGUUUUGAUGUAUAUGCAAUGACAUGAUCUUGGCCAUGGACUCUUUGUUUGAGGAUGCCACCAUAACCUAUGUCUGAUGCAUCAGUUUCGACAAUUUUAAAUGCCUGUGGAAUAGGAAGAUACAUACAUUUUAUGGAUUGGACUUUGAGUUUGAUUUCUUUAACUGUUUGUGUAUGGAGGUCAGACCAAAGAGGAAAAUUUUUCUUCAGCCUAUCAUGUAAUGGCUUGACAAUAUUGUUUAAAUAGGGGACAAAUUCUCCUACAUAAUUUAGACAACCUAGAAAUCUUUGUAA